rnacentral:rRNA from 1 species
GGAGGAAAAGAAACUAACAAGGAUUCCCCUAGUAACGGCGAGUGAAGAGGGAACAAGCUCAAAGUUGGAAUCUAUCUGGCUUAGCCAGAUCGAAUUGUAAACUUUAGAGUCGUUAUCCAGAUCAGCCGAGUAAAUAAGUUCCUUGGAAUAGGACAUCAUGGAGGGUGAGAAUCCCGUCUUUGGCUUGAGCAUUGAUCUUUUGUGAUGCGGCUUCAACGAGUCAGGUUGUUUGGGAAUGCAGCCUUAAUUGGGUGGUAAAUCUCACCUAAAGCUAAAUAUUGGCGAGAGACCGAUAGCGAACAAGUACCGUGAGGGAAAGAUGAAAAGAACUUUGAAAAGAGAGUUAAACAGUAUGUGAAAUUGCUGAAAGGGAACCGUUUGAAGCCAGUCUGGCUGGUCUGCAAUCAGCUUCGGCUUUUGCUGGAGUGCACUUGUAGGCCGUUCGCCUGCCAACAACAGUUUAUUCUGUAGCAAAAAGGUGCUGAGAAUGUGGCUUGACUUCGGUCAAGUGUUAUAGCUCGGUGCGAAAUACUACGGAUUAGACUGAGGAUCGCAGUGAAUGCUUUUUGGCUUUGGAAGUGGGUUGCUCAGAUGUUACCAAGUUAGUUUCGGCCGUAAAAAAGUCGUGCUGGUUUGCUAAUGUCUGACUCGGCCUGCUUGCUUUUAAUUCACUUUGGUUGUUGGCGUAAUGGCUUUAAACGACCCGUCUUGAAACACGG